UUCCCACGGGUCGGGCGCAUAAAAGGGAGCGGGGGCUCGGCCUCGCAGCGUCACCAUGUCCCCGCUGUGCCCACUGCUGCUGACCCUGGCCCUGUUGGCCGUCCCCGGCGUCCGAGGCGCCUGCCCGGCGGCCGCCGACCUGACGAACGCCGACGGGACGCGCACGUGCGCCAAGCUCUACGACAAGAGCGACCCCUACUACGAGAACUGCUGCGCCGGCGCCGUGCUCUCCUUGGAGUCGGGCGCCGACCUGCCCUACCUGCCCUCGGACUGGACGAAAGUCAUCUCCUCGAUCGUGGUGGGCCAACGCUGCGAGCUCACCGUGUGGUCCGGUCGCGGCAAGGAGGGCAAGUCGCGCAAGUUCUCGGCCGGUAGCUACCCGCGCCUGGAGGAGUACCGCCGCGGCCUCUUCGGGGACUGGUCCAACGCCAUCUCCUCCGUCUACUGCAGUUGCAAAUGAUACCUUACGAGAUCGCUCAUCUCCAGCCCUCACAAAGUGCUGAGCCCCUCACCUGGCCUUGUCCAUGGGGUCUGCUGAAGUCUGUAAGACCCAGGAGAACAGAGCUUUCUGCCUGCCCUCAUAUUGCCUUCCCUGUAAUACAGCCUUUAUGAAGCCA